rnacentral:rRNA from 1 species
AUUGAACGCUGGCGGCAGGCCUAACACAUGCAAGUCGAGCGGAUGAAGGGAGCUUGCUCCUGGAUUCAGCGGCGGACGGGUGAGUAAUGCCUAGGAAUCUGCCUGGUAGGGGGAUAACGUCCGGAAACGGGCGCUAAUACCGCAUACGUCCUGAGGGAGAAAGUGGGGGAUCUUCGGACCUCACGCUAUCAGAUGAGCCUAGGUCGGAGUAGCUAGUUGGUGGGGUAAAGGCCUACCAAGGCGACGAUCCGUAACUGGUCUGAGAGGAGGAUCAGUCACACUGGAACUGAGACACGGUCCAGACUCCUACGGGAGGCAGCAGUGGGGAAUAUUGGACAAUGGGCGAAAGCCUGAUCCAGCCAUGCCGCGUGUGUGAAGAAGGUCUUCGGAUUGUAAAGCACUUUAAGUUGGGAGGAAGGGCAGUAAGUUAAUACCUUGCUGUUUUGACGUUACCAACAGAAUAAGCACCGGCUAACUUCGUG